AGAAGAAAGUAGGUCAGGCAAGUCGGCAAAAUGGAUCCGUAACUUCGGCAAAAGGAUUGGCUCUGAGGAUUGGGUGUAUAGCACCUGUGAGCUCGCUUUUGGUCGGAGCUGUCUGGGCCCGUUGGUGAUUCGCUGUCCUGUGGACUAAACGGCACUUACCUCGAUGUGACCGCAGGUAUCGCGUACACAGUGAACAGCUCACUCAGAACUGGAGCGGACAUGGCGAAUCCGACUGUUUUAUUUAAAAAAAAAUUUCUAUGGCCGCAAACGGUGCUGACGCAAUGUGAUUUCUGCCCAGUGCUCUGAAUGUCAAUGUGAUGAAAUUCAGUCUAGCACGGCGGAAGUAACUAUGGCGUUGAUAAUUUGGUACCUGGGUUUUGGAGUUGGGCGUUGCCGCCUUGAGCAAAAUGGUUUAAAAGGGGGAUGCAAGGGAGCUCCAACUCCGACGGUACGCCCACAAGUCAGGCCAACCGUCU
rnacentral:ncRNA from 1 species